rnacentral:rRNA from 1 species
UAUUAUACUAGAUAAAAAUUAGGUGAUUUAGAGUAGUAUUAGAUAAAACUUGAAAUUUGAAGAAUUUGGCGGUAAUUGAUCUUGUUUGAGGAAUUUGUUUUUUAAUUGAUAAUCCCCAAAAAAUCUUACUUAUUUUUAGGGUUUGUAUACCAUCAUAGAAGAUAAAUUUUAGAGAAAUUUAUUAAAUUUAAAAAGUUUAUGGAAGAUAGAUCAAGGUGCAGCGUAUAAAUAAGUUUAAAUGAGUUACAAUAAUUUAAAUUUAAAUGGAAUAGAAGAAGAAUUAUUUUUAUGAAGGUGGAUUAAAUUGUAAUAUGAUUUUAAUAUGGUUGUAUGAAAUAAGUAAUAAAUUAU